UACGUAGGGGGCUAGCGUUGUCCGGAAUCAUUGGGCGUAAAGAGCGUGUAGGCGGCCAAGUAGGUCCGGUGUGAAAACUCGAGGCUUAACCUCGAGAUGUCAUCGGAAACCAUUUUGGCUAGAGUCCGGAAGAGGAAAGUGGAAUUCCUGGUGUAGCGGUGAAAUGCGCAGAUAUCAGGAAGAACACCAAUGGCGAAGGCAGCUCGCUGGGACGGUACUGACG
rnacentral:rRNA from 1 species